rnacentral:rRNA from 1 species
ACGAACGCUGGCGGCAUGCCUAACACAUGCCAGUCGAACGAGACCUUCGGGUCUAGUGGCGCACGGGUGCGUAACGCGUGGGAACCUGCCCUUAGGUUCGGAAUAACUCCCCGAAAGGGGUGCUAAUACCGGAUAAUGUCUUCGGACCAAAGAUUUAUCGCCUUUGGAUGGGCCCGCGUUGGAUUAGCUAGUUGGUAGGGUAAAAGCCUACCAAGGCGACGAUCCAUAGCUGGUCUGAGAGGAUGAUCAGCCACACUGGGACUGAGACACGGCCCAGACUCCUACGGGAGGUAGCAGUGGGGAAUAUUGGACAAUGGGCGAAAGCCUGAUCCAGCAAUGCCGCGUGAGUGAUGAAGGCCUUAGGGUUGUAAAGCUCUUUUACCCGGGAUGAUAAUGACAGUACCGGGAGAAUAAGCUCCGGCUAACUCCGUG